rnacentral:rRNA from 1 species
UACGUAGGGGGCUAGCGUUAUCCGGAAUUACUGGGCGUAAAGGGUGCGUAGGUGGUUUCUUAAGUCAGAGGUGAAAGGCUACGGCUCAACCGUAGUAAGCCUUUGAAACUGGAAAACUUGAGUGCAGGAGAGGAUAGUGGAAUUCCUAGUGUAGCGGUGAAAUGCGUAGAUAUUAGGAGGAACACCAGUUGCGAAGGCGGCUCUCUGGACUGUAACUGACACUGAGGCACGAAAGCGUGGGGAGCAAACAGG